rnacentral:rRNA from 1 species
AUUGAACGCUGGCGGCAGGCCUAACACAUGCAAGUCGAGCGGAUGAAGGGAGCUUGCUCCAGGAUUCAGCGGCGGACGGGUGAGUAAUGCCUAGGAAUCUGCCUGGUAGUGGGGGAUAACGUCCGGAAACGGGCGCUAAUACCGCAUACGUCCUGAGGGAGAAAGUGGGGGAUCUUCGGACCUCACGCUAUCAGAUGAGCCUAGGUCGGAUUAGCUAGUUGGUGGGGUAAAGGCCUACCAAGGCGACGAUCCGUAACUGGUCUGAGAGGAUGAUCAGUCACACUGGAACUGAGACACGGUCCAGACUCCUACGGGAGGCAGCAGUGGGGAAUAUUGGACAAUGGGCGAAAGCCUGAUCCAGCCAUGCCGCGUGUGUGAAGAAGGUCUUCGGAUUGUAAAGCACUUUAAGUUGGGAGGAAGGGCAGUAAGUUAAUACCUUGCUGUUUUGACGUUACCAACAGAAUAAGCACCGGCUAACUUUGUG